GCUAAGCUAUCACUGCUAAUCUAUCGCUGCCAAUUUAUCUACCACUGCCAAUCUAUCUAUCGCUGCCAAUCUAUUGCUGCCAAUCUAUCUAUCACUGCUAAUCUAUCGCUGCUAAUCUAUCGCUGCUAAUCUAUCGCCGCUGCCAAUCUAUCCCUCACUGCUAAGCUAUCCCUCGCUGCUAAGCUAUCUAUCGCUGCUAAUCUAUCGCUGCCAACCUAUCUAUCGCUGCCAAUUUAUCUACCACUGCCAAUCUAUCUAUCGCUGCUAAUCUAUCGCUGCUAAUCUAUCGCUGCUAAUCUAUCGCCGCUGCCAAUCUAUCCCUCACUGCUAAGCUAUCCCUCGCUGCUAAGCUAUCUAUCGCUGCUAAUCUAUCGCUGCCAACCUAUCUAUCGCUGCCAAUUUAUCUACCACUGCCAAUCUAUCUAUCGCUGCUAAUCUAUCGCUGCCAACCUAUCUACCGCGGCGAAUCUAUCCAUCGCUGCCAAUUUAUCUACCACUGUCAAUCUAUCUAUUGCUGCUAAUCUAUCGCUGCUAAUCUAUCACUGCUAAUCUAUUGCUGCUAAUCUAUUGCUGCUGCCAAUCUAUCUAUCACUGCUAAUCUAUUGCUGCUAAUCUAUCACUGCUAAUCUAUCGCUGCCAAUCUAUCUACCGCGGCGAAUCUAUCUAUUGCUGCCAACCAAUCUACCACUGCCAACCUAUCUAUCACUGCCAAUCUAUUGCUGCCAAUCUAUCGCUGCCAAUCUAUCUACUGCAGUGAAUCUAUCUAUCACUAUCAUUACUAGUUCAAAAUAGAACUAGAGCAUAAAUACACUAAACUUCUUUUGAUAGAUAAUGAUUUUUGAUAACACUCAUAGCAUUAUAUCAUCUAUAUAGAGUAAAUCAUGAUCUCAUUUGAUUCUAUUUUGUAAAAUGAAAUCAAAUGGAAUCAGAAUCAGCAAUUUAUAAGAAGA
rnacentral:sRNA from 1 species